AAACUCCCGCCCGUGCGCUGGUAGCGACAGGGUGCGGAACCGAGUUCUUGGACCGGCGCUGGUGACGGCGUCGGCUAAGCGUAGAACAGGGGGGUGCAGGCCGUAACGCAAGUGAACCUAUUGAGCCUCGAAAAUUCACGCGGGAGCCGACCAUGUCCUCUUGAUGGGAAGGCCCUGGAGGCCGAUAUCGCAAGUUACUUUGAUACGGUCAACCACCG
rfam:Magnetospirillum marisnigri strain SP-1 NODE_41_length_16580_cov_129.271_ID_4668, whole genome shotgun sequence.